rnacentral:rRNA from 1 species
UACAUAGGGUGCAAGCGUUGUCCGGAAUUAUUGGGCGUAAAGAGCUCGUAGGUGGUUCGUUACGUCGGAUGUGAAAAUCUGGGGCUCAACCCCAGACCUGCAUUCGAUACGGGCGAACUAGAGUGUGGUAGGGGAGACUGGAAUUCCUGGUGUAGCGGUGGAAUGCGCAGAUAUCAGGAGGAACACCAAUGGCGAAGGCAGGUCUCUGGGCCAAUACUGACACUGAGGAGCGAAAGCGUGGGGAGCGAACAGG